GACGUAGGGCGCGAGCGUUGUCCGGAUUUAUUGGGCGUAAAGAGCUCGUAGGCGGCUUGUCGCGUCGUCCGUGAAAACCUGCAGCUCAACUGCAGGCUUGCGGUCGAUACGGGCAGGCUCGAGUUCGGUAGGGGAGACUGGAAUUCCUGGUGUAGCGGUGAAAUGCGCAGAUAUCAGGAGGAACACCCAUGGCGAAGGCAGCAAACUGGGCAUUAACUGACGCUGAGGCGCGAAAGCGUGGGUAGCAAACAGG
rnacentral:rRNA from 1 species